rnacentral:rRNA from 1 species
AACGAACGCUGGCGGCAUGCCUAACACAUGCAAGUCGAACGAGACCUCCGGGUCUAGUGGCGCACGGUUGCGUCGCGCGAGGGAACCUUCCCUUAUGGUCGGAAUACCUCCCCGAAAGGGGUAAUAUUCCCGGAUAAUGGCUUCCGACCAAAGAUAUCUCGCCCUUGGAUGGGCCCGAGUUGGAUUAGCUAGUUGGUAGGGUAAAAGCCUACGAAGGGGACGAUCCAUAGCUGGUCUGAGAGGAAGCUCAGCCACACUGGGACUGGGACCCGGCCCGGACUCCUACGGGAGGGGGCAGUGGGGAAUAUUGGAAAAUGGGCGAAGGCCUGAUCGAGCAAGGACGCGAGAGUGAUGAAGGCCUUAGGGUUGUAAAGCGCUAUCAACCGGGAUGAUAAUGACAGUACCGGGAGAGUAAGCGCCGGCUAACUCCGUG